UAGUAACAACAAAAACAACAAAGUGAGGUAAUAUUACAAUGAUCACAACACAUAAACUAGUCCUUUGCUAACAACAAAGUGAGGUAAUAUUACAAUGAUCACAACACAUAAACUAGUCCUUUGCUAACAACAAAGUGAGGUAAUAAUACAAUGAUCACAACACAUAAACUAGUUCCUUUGCUUCCCCUUUCUUAGGGUUAAACAAAAUAUUCUUCAAGAAUCAUUAAUUGUCACAACUCUAGGCACUUCAACUGGAAAUUCAUCAAUUUCAUCCAUCCAAGG
rnacentral:lncRNA from 1 species